rnacentral:rRNA from 1 species
AGUCGAACGGCAGCGCGGGAGCAAUCCUGAGCGGCGAGUGGCGAACGGGUGAGUAAUACAUCGGAACGUGCCCAAUCGGGGGGGAUAACGCAGCGAAAGCUGUGCUAAUACCGCAGAAAAUCUACGGAUGAAAGCAGGGGAUCGCAAGACCUUGCGCGAAUGGAGCGGCCGAUGGCAGAUUAGGUAGUUGGUGAGGUAAAGGCUCACCAAGCCUUCGAUCUGUAGCUGGUCUGAGAGGACGACCAGCCACACUGGGACUGAGACACGGCCCAGACUCCUACGGGAGGCAGCAGUGGGGAAUUUUGGACAAUGGGCGAAAGCCUGAUCCAGCCAUGCCGCGUGCAGGAUGAAGGCCUUCGGGUUGUAAACUGCUUUUGUACGGAACGAAACGGCCUUUUCUAAUAAAGAGGGCUAAUGACGGUACCGUAAGAAUAAGCACCGGCUAACUACGUGCCAGCAGCCGCGGUAAUACGUAGGGUGCAAGCGUUAAUCGGAAUUACUGGGCGUAAAGCGUGCGCAGGCGGUAAUGUAAGACAGUUGUGAAAUCCCCGGGCUCAACCUGGGAACUGCAUCUGUGACUGCAUUGCUGGAGUACGGUAGAGGGGGAUGGAAUUCCGCGUGUAGCAGUGAAAUGCGUAGAUAUGCGGAGGAACACCGAUGGCGAA